rnacentral:piRNA from 1 species
UAAUUCCUAUUGGGGGUCCUAUUUGUUG